AGUGAACGCUGGCGGUAGGCCUAACACAUGCAAGUCGAACGGCAGCACAGUAAGAGCUUGCUCUUACGGGUGGCGAGUGGCGGACGGGUGAGGAAUACAUCGGAAUCUACUUUUUCGUGGGGGAUAACGUAGGGAAACUUACGCUAAUACCGCAUACGACCUACGGGUGAAAGCAGGGGCUCUUCGGACCUUGCGCGAUUGAAUGAGCCGAUGUCGGAUUAGCUAGUUGGCGGGGUAAAGGCCCACCAAGGCGACGAUCCGUAGCUGGUCUGAGAGGAUGAUCAGCCACACGAGAACUGAGACACGGUCCAGACUCCUACGGGAGGCAGCAGUGGGGAAUAUUGGACAAGGGGCGCAAGCCUGAUCCAGCCAUACCGCGUGGGUGAAGAAGGCCUUCGGGUUGUAAAGCCCUUUUGUUGGGAAAGAAAAGCAGCAGGUUAAUACCCCGCUGUUCUGACGGUACCCAAAGAAUAAGCACCGGCUAACUUCGUG
rnacentral:rRNA from 1 species